rfam:Ixodes scapularis strain Wikel colony gcontig_1108378594390, whole genome shotgun sequence.
UGAACGCUCUCCGUAUUCACUGCGCGCCUUGAUGUGCCCAAACGUAUCAUAAGGCACGCGGUGAAUGCCAAGAGGCACGCU